UGUUAUGCCAGAACUGUGUAAUACAGGCCAUCACGAGAUUAACCCUUUCCACUAGAUAAUUGCAUAACUAACACUUGUGGAGCUAAGAAUUAAUGCAAUCUUGCAUAAUUUCUUGCGUAACAGCGAUAAUUGAGAAACUUCUAAUUAUACUAUUUCAAUUAGUUGUAUAUAUAUUUUCUCUUGAAUAGUUGCUUAUUGGAUAAUUUGCAGUCUAUUCACCCGGUAAUCACGUAUAUGCCUUCAAGUAACAGUCAUAAUGUGUUUGCUUUAAGACGGUGUAAGACCUGGUUUUCCCUGGUGUUCAUUCGAGCAUUAUCGUAUUAGAAAAAUGUUCGAUUAUCUUCUAAUCUAUUGUCGCGUGUACUACGACUACGGAUUAGGGGGGGUGGGGGUAAUGAGUGAGUAGGAGCAGGUUGAGCCAAGAUGGGUGGUCAUGGAGGCAGGCAUCACUCCUUGUGGACUCCUUGAACUCAUAAUUUUAUAGCGUAAAUCUUUUUUUUUUUUUUCCUGCUUGUUCUUUAUCGGGAUAGAAGUCGUCUUUUGGGUAAUGACUGCUGAGUUUGUAUGGAAUUCAUAAGAUGUGCAAUUAUUUUUAUUUAUUUAUUUUUUUAUUGGAUCUGCCCUGGUUCUUUGUGGAUGUGGGAAGGCACCAGUUUGAAAAUUAGGUUUACAGAAAAGGAAGGAUGCAGAUUCCACGGAUACACACUGAAAGAGAAGCAACUGGCCACCUACCCCCACAAGAUUGUAAAAUAGCUGAUCUACACCUCCUACAUUUUAACAGUCUCCUGAAGGAAGGAAUGUCUGGAUCAAAGACAGAAUCACUGUCCUCAGAAUCCCCUUCAGUUGUAAUGGAGUCUUCACUGUGUUUGCUGAGGUUGUCUCUUGGGACAGGAAUCUGAUCAGCAGGGCUUAAGAGGUGGGAUGGUCCCACUUGAGGGCAGAGUUACAGCUGCCACCUUCCGGGAUACUUGGCGUGUGGUGAAGUGAUGUCCAGAGAGGUAAUUGAGAGCAACUAUCCACUGGUUUCUGAUGGGUGUGCUGCUUUCUCCAUCAGGAUUCCCAGGGAUUAUAAACAUCACUUUAUCAGCCUUCAGGAUGUGAUCUCUUGUCCAACAGUUUGGAUCCUAUGGAAAAAUUGUUUGUAUACAGUACAGAUUGCAUAUAAAUAUGCAUAUUGCAUAUGAAAUUGCAAUGUGUAUUUGCACAUAUUGUGUCUCCCUAACCUCUAUCCCCACAUCACGAUCCACCAGGUAUGGGAAGAGAUGGCAGGUGUUCUUCAGGAAAUCAGCAAACAUGUUGAUGAAUUCCAUAUACAGCUGGUUUUCUGCUAUAUAAAUAAGAAGAACUGUCGGCUGGACUUCCUGCAGGGCCUGCAGUUUAUCUGUGUGUGGAUAAAGUACCCUUAUUGUUAUAAGAAUAUUCUCAUUACUAUGAUCAAGUUAGUAACCAAUUGUGAAAUCACAUCCAUGUAUUGGUAAGCUGAUGAAAAGUAAAGAAUUUAUUACUCUAA